UCUGUGCUCCGCCUCCUCCUCCGUCUCGUCUUGUGCUUGUCCCUCUCCCUUGCCGCUACGUCCCACAAGAAGUUGCAGAGACUCCGACGGCUCCACCACCUCCCAGGGUCCAACACCGCCACCGCCCAUCCUCCACCACCAUCGCCGCCCCCAGGGAGUUUAGAAGCAGGCUUGUUUGCAAGUACGCCAUCGGCGGCAAGCACGGCAGCGACGAGGGCCACAACGGGUGGGUCUCCUGCGUCAGGUUCUCCCCCAACACCUUGCUGCCCACCAUUGGCUCCGGCUCCUGGGACCGCACCGUCAAUGUCUAGAACCUUACCUAUUGCAAGCUCCAAUAUUUUGUAUUAUUUAGCAAUUACGGAUUGGUGUCUGCUAAUGCUUAGAUGCCGCUAUCAAGUCACGGCUAGAGGUCUCACUACUAUGAGCUAUGUUUUGACAGA